rnacentral:lncRNA from 1 species
CAUUUUGUUACUAUGAGGGAAGAGCCUGAGAAGAGAGCCAACAUGACAGAGAGUGGGACAAUAAGAUAAAGAGAGAGAAAAAAUGGAUCUUGUUGAGUUAUGUGAGCUCCUGAUCCAGGCUUUGCCGGAUCUACCCCUCAGCUUUUCAAUCACAUGAGCCAAUAGUCUUUCCUCAAGCCAGACCAAGGUCCUUGUCACCUAUAACCGAGGACAUUCCAACUGAUACAAAAUAGAAGGGAACAGAAAAUCCUUGGCACGUGAGAAGCCAUCUGGGAGGAGCUGUCAGCUUCAUCUUGACCACCGUCAAAUGAUGCUUCCAGAUUGCAGAUUCCUUCUGGGGAUAUGUUCUGAAGGAAGGCGUGACGGGAUCUGCUAAUUGGACGUGGGGCGCAGAGAAAGAGACGUCAGGACGACUUCAGGGGUUUGGUCCGAGCAGGCGCAGCUGUGGGGCAGCAGCUCACGGAGGAGCAGCGCUGGGUCACUGGUCACUAGACAGACGCAGCCACAAGGACUUGUACAGAGCGUCAGCACGUCGGGUUUGUUUUUCAAGCACGGAUUCAGACCGAUGAGGCAGGUCUGAGCAGCCGA